CCUACGGGUGGCAGCAGUCGAGAAUCAUUCACAAUGGGGGAAACCCUGAUGGUGCGACGCCGCGUGGGGGAAUGAAGGUCUCCGGAUUGUAAACCCCUGUCAUGUGGGAGCAAAUUAAAAAUAUAGUACCACAAGAGGAAGAGACGGCUAACUCUGUGCCCGCAGCCGCGGUAAUACAGAGGUCUCAGGCGUUGUUCGGAAUCACUGGGCGUAAAGGGUGCGUAGGCUGUUUCGUAAGUCGUGUGUGAAAGGCGCGGGCUCAACCCGCGGACGGCACCUGAUACUGCGAGACUAGAGUGAUGGAGGGGGAACCGGAAUUCGCGGUGUAGCAGUGAAAUGCGUAGAUAUCGAGAGGAACACUCGUGGCGAAGGCGGGUUCCUGGACAUUAACUGACGCUGAGGCACGAAGGCGAGGGGAGCGAAAGGGAUUAGAUACCCUAGUAGUC
rnacentral:rRNA from 1 species